GACGAACGCUGGCGGCGUGCUUAACACAUGCAAGUCGAACGGAAAGGCCCUGCUUUUGUGGGGUGCUCGAGUGGCGAACGGGUGAGUAACACGUGAGUAACCUGCCCUUGACUUUGGGAUAACUUCAGGAAACUGGGGCUAAUACCGGAUAGGAGCUCCUGCUGCAUGGUGGGGGUUGGAAAGUUUCGGCGGUUGGGGAUGGACUCGCGGCUUAUCAGCUUGUUGGUGGGGUAGUGGCUUACCAAGGCUUUGACGGGUAGCCGGCCUGAGAGGGUGACCGGCCACAAUGGGACUGAGAUACGGACCAGACUCCUACGGGAGGCAGCAGUGGGGAAUAUGGCACAGUGGGCGGAAGCCUGAUGCAGCAACGCCGCGUGCGGGAUGACGGCCUUCGAGUUGUAAACCGCUUUCGCCUGUGACGAAGCGUGAGUGACGGUAAUGGAUAAAGAAGCACCGGCUAACUACGUG
rnacentral:rRNA from 1 species